UACAGAGGUCUCAAGCGUUGUUCGGAUUCAUUGGGCGUAAAGGGUGCGUAGGCGGCGCGGUAAGUCGGGUGUGAAAUCUGGAGCUUAACUCCGAAACUGCAUUCGAUACUGCCGUGCUUGAGGACUGGAGAGGAGACUGGAAUUUACGGUGUAGCGGUGAAAUGCGUAGAUAUCGUAAGGAAGACCAGUGGCGAAGGCGGGUCUCUGGACAGUUCCUGACGCUGAAGGCACGAAGGCCAGGGGGAGCAAAACAGGG
rnacentral:rRNA from 1 species